rnacentral:rRNA from 2 species
GCUCAGGACGAACGCUGGCGGCGUGCCUAAUACAUGCAAGUCGAGCGGACAGAAGGGAGCUUGCUCCCGGAUGUUAGCGGCGGACGGGUGAGUAACACGUGGGUAACCUGCCUGUAAGACUGGGAUAACUCCGGGAAACCGGAGCUAAUACCGGAUAGUUCCUUGAACCGCAUGGUUCAAGGAUGAAAGACGGUUUCGGCUGUCACUUACAGAUGGACCCGCGGCGCAUUAGCUAGUUGGUGAGGUAACGGCUCACCAAGGCGACGAUGCGUAGCCGACCUGAGAGGGUGAUCGGCCACACUGGGACUGAGACACGGCCCAGACUCCUACGGGAGGCAGCAGUAGGGAAUCUUCCGCAAUGGACGAAAGUCUGACGGAGCAACGCCGCGUGAGUGAUGAAGGUUUUCGGAUCGUAAAGCUCUGUUGUUAGGGAAGAACAAGUGCAAGAGUAACUGCUUGCACCUUGACGGUACCUAACCAGAAAGCCACGGCUAACUACGUGCCAGCAGCCGCGGUAAUACGUAGGUGGCAAGCGUUGUCCGGAAUUAUUGGGCGUAAAGGGCUCGCAGGCGGUUUCUUAAGUCUGAUGUGAAAGCCCCCGGCUCAACCGGGGAGGGUCAUUGGAAACUGGGAAACUUGAGUGCAGAAGAGGAGAGUGGAAUUCCACGUGUAGCGGUGAAAUGCGUAGAGAUGUGGAGGAACACCAGUGGCGAAGGCGACUCUCUGGUCUGUAACUGACGCUGAGGAGCGAAAGCGUGGGGAGCGAACAGGAUUAGAUACCCUGGUAGUCCACGCCGUAAACGAUGAGUGCUAAGUGUUAGGGGGUUUCCGCCCCUUAGUGCUGCAGCUAACGCAUUAAGCACUCCGCCUGGGGAGUACGGUCGCAAGACUGAAACUCAAAGGAAUUGACGGGGGCCCGCACAAGCGGUGGAGCAUGUGGUUUAAUUCGAAGCAACGCGAAGAACCUUACCAGGUCUUGACAUCCUCUGACAACCCUAGAGAUAGGGCUUUCCCUUCGGGGACAGAGUGACAGGUGGUGCAUGGUUGUCGUCAGCUCGUGUCGUGAGAUGUUGGGUUAAGUCCCGCAACGAGCGCAACCCUUGAUCUUAGUUGCCAGCAUUCAGUUGGGCACUCUAAGGUGACUGCCGGUGACAAACCGGACGAAGGUGGGGAUGACGUCCCAUCAUCAUGCCCCUUAU